rnacentral:tRNA from 1 species
GCACUUGUAGCUCAGUGGAUAAAGUGUCUGUUUCCUAAGAAGAAAAUCGUAAGUUCAACCCCUACCUGGUGCG